UACGUAGGGUGCGAGCGUUGUCCGGAAUCACUGGGCGUAAAGCGCACGUAGGCGGAUUUCUAAGUCAGGGGUGAAAUCCUGGAGCUCAACUCCAGAACUGCCUUUGAUACUGGGAGUCUCGAGUCCGGGAGAGGUGAGUGGAACUGCGAGUGUAGAGGUGAAAUUCGUAGAUAUUCGCAAGAACACCAGUGGCGAAGGCGGCUCACUGGCCCGGUACUGACGCUGAGGUGCGAAAGCGUGGGGAGCAAACAGG
rnacentral:rRNA from 1 species